rnacentral:rRNA from 1 species
UACGGAGGGUGCAAGCGUUAUCCGGAUUCACUGGGUUUAAAGGGUGCGUAGGCGGGCAGGUAAGUCCGUGGUGAAAUCUCUGAGCUUAACUCAGAAACUGCCAUGGAUACUAUUUGUCUUGAAUAUUGUGGAGGUAAGCGGAAUAUGUCAUGUAGCGGUGAAAUGCUUAGAUAUGACAUAGAACACCAAUUGCGAAGGCAGCUUACUACACAGUUAUUGACGCUGAGGCACGAAAGCGUGGGUAGCAAACAGG